rnacentral:rRNA from 1 species
GAUUAACGCUGGCGGCGUGCCUAACACAUGCAAGUCGAGCGGCAGCGCGUUUUACACUGUCUUCUGGAAGCUUCUAGUUGUAAGAGAAGAUUUAUUCAAGAAUUUUGUGUAAAAUGUCGGCGAGCGGCGGACGGCUGAGUAACGCGUGGGAACGUACCCCAAAGUGAGGGAUAACGCAUCGAAAGGUGUGCUAAUACCGCAUAUGGUCUUCGGAUUAAAGCCUUCGGGCGCUUUGGGAACGGCCUGCGUAAGAUUAGAUAGUUGGUGGGGUAAUGGCCUACCAAGUCGACGAUCUUUAACUGGUGUGAGAGGAUGCUCAGUCAGACUGGAACUGAGACACGGUCCAGACUCCUACGGGAGGCAGCAGUGAGGAAUCUUCCACAAUGGGCGAAAGCCUGAUGGAGCAACGCCGCGUGCAGGAUGAAGGCCUUCGGGUUGUAAACUGCUUUUAUAAGUGAGGAUUAUGACAGUAACUUAUGAAUAAGGAUCGGCUAACUACGUG